UACGGAGAGGGCAAGCGUUGUUCGGAAUUACUGGGCGUAAAGGGCUCGUAGGCGGCCAACUAAGUCGGACGUGAAAUCCCCAGACUCAACCUGGGAACUGCGUCCGAUACUGGAUGGCUUGAAUCCGGGGGAGGGAUGCAGAAUUCCAGGUGUAGCGGUGAAAUGCGUAGAUAUCGGGAGGAACACCAGUGGCGUAAGCGAUCACCUGGGCUAGACCUGACGCUGAGGGACGAAGGCGUGGGGAGCAAACGGG
rnacentral:rRNA from 1 species